rnacentral:tRNA from 1 species
GCCUGGGUGGCUUAGUUGGUUAAGCAUCUGACUUCGGCUCAGGUCACAAUCUCACAAUUUGUGGGUUCGAACCCCGCAUCAGUCU